CUUCCUUCCAAACUCCUGGGAGAAAAGACAAGAGGGAAAAUAUGCGAGCAUUAUAAAAGUAUGCCUAUCGCUGAUACUUUCUUAAACCACAGGUGUGCGGGAUCUCCUCCCGUUAGAUGUCAGAUGCAGACUGACUGACUGAUAGACAACCUACUUGGAACGCAAAUUUGCGGUGCUCUUGCCAAAUUGGCAAGGGCUGGUCCUGUUCUUGUCGAGGUGCUGUUUGCCUGUGCACAGAACGGGAGUGCAGCACCUGUCUGCAAUUCCUCCUGAUGAUGGAUUAAAAAGAUGCUAGAACCAGGUGGCCGGUUUUGAGGCCGCAGAACCAGCGGCGCUCGGACCGCAGAGCCGGCUGCCCCUCGGCGCGCGUGCGGACGGAGGGCGCCUGCGGCUGCGCGGGAACGCGCUGAAGCGCUGCGGGCAGCGCGCGGGAGCCGGGACGGAGCGGAGCUAAAGAAGUAAACAGCUCAUGGCACGUUUAACAAAAAGAUGACAGGCGGAUACAAAAGCUAUCCAGCAUCUUUGGGCAGCCAUUGAGAUUAUACGGAACCAGAAGCAAAUUGCCAACAUUGACUGUAUUACCAAGACUGUCGUGCUCCAGCUCCUGAGGACUUUACCAUGGAUCCGUGCGUUACUGUGAAUCGUCUCACGUGAGGAUGUCUCACCCUGUCCAUUGCAGCUGCAAGACAGAGUCUCACUGUGUUGCCUGGGCUAGAAUUUCCAAUCAAGAUGUAAAGGGUGAAGAAUCAAAGAACAAAGAAUCAGUAACAAGUGAAAUUUAAGCCUUCAGUCAUGCAGAUUCCUAAUAUGAUUCAUAACUCAUUGUCAUGUUAUUUCUCUAAAUGCCAUGUAUAGUUUAAUGUCCAAUAAAAUCAAGUUACAUAUAUCA